rnacentral:rRNA from 1 species
AGAGUUUGAUCAUGGCUCAGAGCGAACGCUGGCGGCAGGCUUAACACAUGCAAGUCGAGCGGGCGUAGCAAUACGUCAGCGGCAGACGGGUGAGUAACGCGUGGGAACGUACCUUUUGGUUCGGAACAACACAGGGAAACUUGUGCUAAUACCGGAUAAGCCCUUACGGGGAAAGAUUUAUCGCCGAAAGAUCGGCCCGCGUCUGAUUAGCUAGUUGGUAGGGUAAUGGCCUACCAAGGCGACGAUCAGUAGCUGGUCUGAGAGGAUGAUCAGCCACAUUGGGACUGAGACACGGCCCAAACUCCUACGGGAGGCAGCAGUGGGGAAUAUUGGACAAUGGGGGCAACCCUGAUCCAGCCAUGCCGCGUGAGUGAUGAAGGCCCUAGGGUUGUAAAGCUCUUUUGUGCGGGAAGAUAAUGACGGUACCGCAAGAAUAAGCCCCGGCUAACUUCGUGCCAGCAGCCGCGGUAAUACGAAGGGGGCUAGCGUUGCUCGGAAUCACUGGGCGUAAAGGGUGCGUAGGCGGGUCUUUAAGUCAGGGGUGAAAUCCUGGAGCUCAACUCCAGAACUGCCUUUGAUACUGAAGAUCUUGAGUUCGGGAGAGGUGAGUGGAACUGCGAGUGUAGAGGUGAAAUUCGUAGAUAUUCGCAAGAACACCAGUGGCGAAGGCGGCUCACUGGCCCGAUACUGACGCUGAGGCACGAAAGCGUGGGGAGCAAACAGGAUUAGAUACCCCGGUAGUCC